rnacentral:lncRNA from 1 species
AUCAUUAUUUUUAACCAAUUCACGGAUAUGGUAUUGACAUCGACUACUUAACUUUUCUGGACAUGGACCUAUGUAUUUCUUAUGACAAUAGUAAAAUAUUAUGUGCAUAACAAAACUUUGAAAUAAACAGAGUCAGUUAUUCAAUGAUAUAAAUCGUUAAUAUAAUUAUAAAUUGUAUUACAUCACCAAACGUGACGUUACAUUUAAAAUUCUAAAGUCACAAGUUAAGCCACGAAAUUAAAGUAUAUUUAAAUGUAACACAAACGUUGCUGUGAUUUGUAACCUUGUGCUACACGGUGGAAACUGAAAAAAAAAAAAACAAGUGCGCUACGCGUGAACGUGAGUGCGUUUGGAGUAAGAGAUGUGACCCAAACGCGCCUCUUUAUCAGGCUUAAGAGUCGACGACACCAUUGAUAACACGCGUAAAAGUUCUUAAAACAAUGAGAAAGUUGAAAGCAAACCUCGGACAAAUAUUAGCCAUACAAGACUAAUGUUAUUCUUGACAUUAAUCAAAUCUAUUUCAUUUUAUUUUUUUUGGUCUAAACAAUCUUAUUAAUUUUAGUGUAUGAGUUUAGUAUUAUAUCCGUUAAUCAGUAGUAUACUUUCAUAAAAAUACAUGAGAAUUGAGUCUCUCUGUAUAUGCAUAUUUAUCACUUCACUGCAAAA